CAAAAUUCACAUGGAAAAGAACACGUACACCAUAAAAUCUAAGUGUCAUAAGGUUUCUCUUCGAUUCAUGAAAAUGAUGGUGAGGAAACUCUUUCACUAAGAAGAUUUUAAGUAGAUAGCGGUUGUGAUAUUUGCAUUCUCAUAUAGUUAGUGGAGCGUGUGUGGCUAACCGGCACACUAACUAGUGAGAAUUACAAAAGGUCUAGACAAACAUGUGAGCUAUCUAAGGAAAGGGGUAUGAUUUUGAUAAAGUCUUAUCAAAGCAAUCUAGUAUCAGAAAUAUGAACUUUGGUAAGAAAGUCAAUAAAGUAUUGAUUUCUAGAAGUCCAGUUGAUUUCUGAGUACAUGUCAAAGCUAGUGGGAGCAUAAGUGUUAUGCUAAUAAUCAUCAUGUUAGUGGGAGCAUGAUANUUUCUGAGUACAUGUCAAAGCUAGUGGGAGCAUAGAGUGUUAUGCUGGUAAUCAUUAUGCUAGUGGGAGCAUGAUGAUUAUGUUAAGUAUUGCAAGGUUGCAAUGUUAAUUAUAGAAAACAAAAGUUUCAAUUUGCUUUGAAAGGUUGUUUGCUAUAAUUAAGGGAGAGGAUUUUAUACUUCAUUCCAAUUCUACCAGCUUAGAUUGAGUUUUAUCAACUUUAGUCAAG
rnacentral:lncRNA from 1 species